rnacentral:tRNA from 3 species
CGCGGGGUAGAGCAGUUCGGUAGCUCGUCGGGCUCAUAACCCGGAGGUCGUUGGUUCAAAUCCUUCCCCCGCAACCA